rnacentral:rRNA from 1 species
GGUUGGGUAACACUAACUGGAGGACCGAACCGACUAAUGUUGAAAAAUUAGCGGAUGACUUGUGGCUGGGGGUGAAAGGCCAAUCAAACCGGGAGAUAGCUGGUUCUCCCCGAAAGCUAUUUAGGUAGCGCCUCGUGAAUUCAUCUCCGGGGGUAGAGCACUGUUUCGGCAAGGGGGUCAUCCCGACUUACCAACCCGAUGCAAACUGCGAAUACCGGAGAAUGUUAUCACGGGAGACACACGGCGGGUGCUAACGUCCGUCGUGAAGAGGGAAACAACCCAGACCGCCAGCUAAGGUCCCAAAGUCAUGGUUAAGUGGGAAACGAUGUGGGAAGGCCCAGACAGCCAGGAUGUUGGCUUAGAAGCAGCCAUCAUUUAAAGAAAGCGUAAUAGCUCACUGGUCGAGUCGGCCUGCGCGGAAGAUGUAACGGGGCUAAACCAUGCACCGAAGCUGCGGCAGCGACGCUUAUGCGUUGUUGGGUA